rnacentral:lncRNA from 1 species
GUCUUGGGAACAUCCUCGGCCCUCACCCUCAACUGGUGGUAACCUGACUGGAGAUCAAUCUUCGAGAAGACAUAAGAUCCCUGCAGCUGAUCAAACAAAUCAUCAAUGCGCGGCAAGGGAUACUUAUUCUUGAUGGUCACUUUAUUCAGCUCCCGGUAAUCUACACAUAACCUGAGCGAACCAUCCUUCUUCUUAACAAAUAACACUGGCGCUCCCCAAGGCGACACACUGGGUCUCACAUAUCCCUUGUCCAUCAAAUCCUGAAGCUGCGCCUUUAGCUCUCUCAGCUCAGCCGGCGCCAUCCGAUAAGGUACCUUUGAGAUUGGUGUAGUUCCAGGAACUACAUCAAUCACAAACUCAAUCUCCCUCUCCGGCGGCAAUGUCGUCAACUCAAGGGGAAAUACAUCCGGAAACUCGCGGACUACUGGAAUAUCCUCGAGUCCCGGUGCCGUCGUAGGUACCUCCACAACUGUCGCUAAGAAAGCAAUACACCCGCUACUCAGCAUCUGUCGAGCCCUCGCCGAAGAAAUCCAUGGAGGAAUGAGAGAUUACCCAUGGAUCAUUGAUUUGAACGCCCGAAAAUCGAAAACAACACUAUAGUACGGGAGCUCCCGUACUAUAGAUAGUAUAGUAGCCGGACUCUAAAAAAUUUAUAUAUAAAAAUUAAUAGAUUUUUAUAUACGGUAUAAAAAAAAUUGUAUACCGAGCAUAUAAGACAUGAACCAAACUUUUUUAAAAAAUAAGUAUCGCGAUCAAUCCUAUUUUUUUAAUAGUAUACGAUAUGAACAAACCUUUUUUAAAAAAAAUGUUGUGCACGAAAUAUAAAAGAUACGAACCAAACCUUCUAUUUUUUAAUUUAAUAAUAUAAUUGAUAAAAAAAUUACAUACGAAAAUUAAUAGAUUUUUAUAUACGGUGUAAAAAAAAUUGUACACCGAGCAUAUAAUACAUUUUUUUAAAAUAAUUAUUGCAUAGAUUAAUCCUAUUUUUUAAUAGUAUCUUUUUUUUUUAAUAUUAUAAGACGUGAACCAAACCUUUUUUUAAAAUAAUUAUCGUAUGGACAAACCUUAUUUUUUAAUAGUCAAUAUAACAAAAUUAAAAUUUUAUCUAUUAAAUACAAUCUAUAAUUAAUAAAUAUUUUUGCUGUAUCGUAUGAACCAACCCUAUUUUUUAAUAGUAUAAUUAAUAAAAAAAUCCCAUACAAAAAUUAAUAGAUUUUUAUAUACGGUGAAAAAAAAAUUGUAUACCGAGUAUGUAAGAUAUGAACCAAACUUUUUUUAAAAAUAAUUAUCGCAUGGAUCAACCCUAUUUUUUAAUAGCAUAAUACAUAAACCAAAACUUUUUUAAAAUUAAUUAUCUCAUGAACCAACACUAUUUUUUAAUAGUUACUAUAACAAAAUUAAAAAUUUCAUCUAAUAAAUACAAUUUAUAAUUAAUAAAAAACUAAUAUAAUUUAAUUGUAUUUAAUAUUGUAAAAUUUCUAAAAUGAAUGUGCUUUAUAUAAAGUUAGCGCGAAAUAUUGUAUCUAAUUUGUCGGGAUAUAUUUUCUACUUCGUAUAUUACUAUAUAUUUUUAUAUACUCAUAAAAUUAUACAUAUCUAAAUAAAUAAAUAUUGUGCAAAUUAAUUAAAAUAUUUUUUUCUCGCAGCAUUGCGCGGGCCCUUAGCUAGUAUAUCAUAAAUUCAAAACACAUGCACCUACUACAAUAUAGUUAGAAAGCAUGCAUAAUAAGUUCAAAAUCUUAUAAUGAAAUAAACGAAGCGGGUAGCGUGCUACUUAUCUCUCAAAAAAAAAAAAGAAAAAAAAAGUUCAAAAUCUUAUAAUGAAAAGAUGAGUAUCAAGGUUUUUUUUCUCUUUGGUUUCAGUUGACGGUCAGAUAUUUUACCGAGUCGGUGUCAAGAUUCGAAUAUGAAAACUAUCUCAGACCCUACCCACCAAAGGGUCAGGUCCAGAUCAGGUCCGAGUGGGUAUGAUUAUGAAGUAUUCAAAUCUAUACCGGAUGCAUACCAAAAAUAUAAUAAUAAUAGAAGUGGUGUUGGGUAGGUGGAACCAGUUGUAUCAGUUGGCUUGAUCGACCAGACUACACACUAGAUCGACCGUCCGAUUGAUCUAAGCUGAGUCCAGAUUGCUAGAUCGGGGAUCUGCUCCAACGGUGCUCAAUAGUGGCUUGAUCUGAUUUUUCAAGUUCAAAACUACAACAUUCACAAAACAAAAAACCUUCCCUAUUCCAUUUCUAAGUCAUAAAAUUUUCCACUUAGGGUGUGUUUGGAUCCCUGUUAAAUUCCUUCGAAAAAAAAUUUUCGGUGGAAAAUUUGUUUUUCCUUGUAUGGUUGUCUGUAAAAAUUUUUUUGGAAAAGUUAUUUUACAGAUUUCUAGGAAAAAUUCAGCUUUUCGUUUUCCGCUUGCCGUCCGCGGAAAACGAAAAGCUACAGGAAAAUAUCGCGGCGUUUGGCGCGAAGGGGAGCAACGGGAUGACGCGGUCCACAAGACCACUUUGGCCUCGUAGACCGCGUCGGAGGGAGGUCCACAGCAGCCCUUGUGUUUCUAAUUUUCUAAUCACCCAUCAAGUUUGAUGGGUGGUUAGAAUGAGAGAGGGAGAAAAUAUUGGGGAGAAAUUGGGUAUUUCAAUUUCUCUUCUUAUUAAAUUUCUCUUUAAUAUCUCCUCUGUCUCUCUCAUUCUAACCACCAAUCAAACUUGAUGGGUGGUUAAAAAGUUAGGAGUAUAAGGGCUGUUGUGCUCCUAAUAGCACAGUAGUCCUGCUCUAUAUAUAUAUAUACUAGCUGAGUGUACGUGCAAAUACACGUAACAAUUAUUUUAAUUUAUUUUAAAUCAAUAUAAAUUUGCACAUUAUAUUUAUUUAAAAAUUUAUUAAUUUAUUAAUUCAUAUGUUAUAUUUUAUUAGAAAAUAUUUGUAAUAUUCUAUAUUUUUUUACAUAUAUUAAAUAUUUAUAUAUAUUUUUUGAUUUCUGAUGAUCUAAAAUUUAAAUAUGUGUUUUAAACAAAAAGCAUCAAAAUUUAAUUCAUAUUUAUUUCAAAAUUUAAAAUUUAAUUUUUAUCCACUAUAAUUAAAAUUUUGGAUAAGAAUGCUAUUUUAUUAGCAAAUUAUCAUUUGAAAUCCACUAUCAUCACAUUUCUCACACACUUUUUCAUAUGUCCAAAUCAAGGCUUAUAUAUAGAGUGAAAAGUAAUGAGCAGUGUCUUUUCAAAUAUGAAAAAAAGCAAAUUAUCUUUUGAAAUCAAAUAACUACCUUUAUUAUGAAAGUAUGUGUCCUUUUAUUAGCAACUAAAAUUUUGAAUUAAUUAAAUAAAUAUUUCUGCAUUCAGACCUUUAUUAAUUUUGCAUGAGAAAGACAAGUUGAGAUGACGAUGAUGGCACAGAGUGGAAACAAAGAAGAAGAAAGAACGGAGGACGGGAAGAGAGGGAGAUUAAAAUUAUAGUGGAAGAUAGGGCGGAGGAUUUAAUUCAUUUUUUUAAAAAAUUAAUUUCAAUUGUAAAAAAUAGUAAAAGUAUAUGAAAAUCCUACCAACUGUCAUGAAAUUAUUAAAAUAAAUUAACAAUUUGAUCCAAAAGUGACGUAAGAUUAUUGAGAGAAAACUAAAACUAACAUAACAAAUAAUUCUUUAACUCGAAAAGGCACGACAAUAAAUAUUCAUAAACGAAAUCAACUUUUGAACAUUUAUUUUCAAAGUAAAUGCAUUAUAAUAAUGUUAUUAAAGUAUGAAUAAUCUUGAUAUAUUGUCACGCCCCGGAUUACACUUUCCCCGGGCACGCCGACAAAUCCGCCGUAUACAAAGGAAUUUCCCCUGUAUACGAAGCGUUAGCUGUACCUGUAAAUCAAACACUACUACGAACAGUAGUAGAGAGCUGCUAGAGAAAACAGAAGCUAAACAAACUGAGUUUCAUAUACAUAGUCCAUAUCCAAAAUACAAAGCUACUCGCACUGGCGAGUUAAGUCCACUAUGUACAUAAACUCGAAACAAAACAUCUACCUGCAGUAGGGUGCCUCUAACUCUGCACGUCGGGUAGGGCUCUAACUCGCGACGCCCUUGCCUCGAUCCUGAUCCGCGGAAGGCGCAGUAGCCGAAACCUGUGGCUCUGCAAAACAUAGGUAACAACUGGGCGUGAGAACUACUGUAAAAACAAGUAGUCCUCAGUGGGUACCGCCCAAAACGACAUCGGUCACCCACUAAGUCUACAGAAGGGAGCAAGGAUAGAAGGAAAAGCAGGAAGUACACUCUAUCGCUAUCAUCCACUACACUAUCAUGCUCUACAUUAACCGACUGUAGGAAAUGUCAAAUCUGACCCAAUCCAAUUGGGACUGUAAACAUACCCGUCCCUGGGACUGUGAACACACCCGUCCCUGCCCCGUUGCGACUAUCAGGCUCUAUCCACACUAGCUGGUCCGUGGAGAGCAAGUCCAACUGGCAUGAGCGACACCAACGCAAAAGCACCGCGCCCGCCUCCGGAGUGGCACUCGUGGGAGCUACCCAACCGAGUAUGCAGCGUAUCUCUGUCGAGCUCAAACAGGCUCUCUAACUCAAGCCGAAGUCCAGUAACAACUCUGACUAGUCUAAAUACAACAAACAACGUGCCCUCGGCACAAUCCGACGCCAAAACGGCGAACCGGGCCCACCGUCAGUCCCGACGGCGCCCACUAGUACGAAACAGUCUAAACGACCUCAGAAAAAUUCACUCGGCAUACCAGCACGAGCGUAAAUGUAUUCUAAACUACCUGGAGUACUCGUCUACAGUAUGCUGCGACAGUACAAUUCUAUAACGGCUCCUAGAGCUAAAUCAGGCAGUUUAAUACAUAUGUCGAUUCCAAUCGCGUUUUCUCCUAAGUUUAAACCCAGUCCAACAUGUAUAUUUAAAAGGUAAUAAUCAUGUUAUAUAUGCAGCAUUUAUCCAGGAUAUCAUUAUGAAAAACGAACUACAACAUGAUUUACCGAACAGAAAAUCAUACAUGUCGACUAUUACUACACUUAGGAAUAAACCGAUGUAAACCCACCUUAGUCGCUAAUUCUGGCAGCAAAACACCCUCACAGCUGCAGCACCACCUGCUGGUCGAUCUACACCCUCCAAAUCCGGGAGUCGAGCUAACACCACGCUCUACAAAGCACAAAUCACCGUUUCAGUCCCAAAAUUCGCAACAGUCAGGUACAGCACGGAUUCGACCAAUCUAACCUCAACGAAAUCUGGCAAGUAAGGGCUUCGUGGAUUCCUCUCGAAGUCCUGAAUCCAGCGAAUCAAGCCUCGUCGAAAUCCGACGCUCCUACGUCGAGUACGAGCCGAAACGCCAACGGUCGACGCUGGAAAUCUGCAGGGACAGCAACUAGCUCGAAAUUGAAAAAGCUUGGAAAUUAGGAAGCAAUUCUAUGGAACACCCACCUCGACGGCGACUAGCACUGGCGCGACGUCAAGAACGGCGAAGAUCCACGCUCGCCCGGCCUCCUCACGAUGCAACGGCAGCAACCGUAGGUUCGAACGGCUCUGCGGUGCGACGUCGACGGCGAAAUCGGCUCCGCGGCGGCGUCCCUCGCGUGCUUCCUUGGUACGGCCGAACGAAAGAGAAAAGGAGAGAAGAGAGGAGAUAAACUCCUCUCUCUCUCUUCCCUGCAUGCAUAAAAGAGGGGGGGGAGGUGAUGCCACAUGGCAUUACACAUACUCACACAUGUGCACUCACACACACACACACACGUACCCUCACACACACACUUAUAUAUAUAUACUAAGUGUAGGGAUACUAGUAUACUACAUCCUCCCCCACUACAAAAAGUUUCGUCCGCGAAACUGAACGUACCUCUACUCAAGCAUCAAACAAGUAGGGAUAGGCUUCCCUCAUCACCGUCUCAGACUCCCAAGUCGCCUCCCGCUCAUCAUGAUUACUCCACUGCACUUUCACAUACGGGAUGACCCGGUUGCGCAAUUCUUUCGUCUCCCGAGCAAGAAUCCGCAACGGUCGCUCCUCGUAUCUCAGAUCCUCGCCAAUCUCAAGUGGAGUGAAGUCAAUCACGUGAGAGGGAUCGAAAACGUAUCUCCUCAAUGCUGAGACGUGGAAAACAUCAUGGAUGCCAGCAAGUCGCGGGGGUAGAGCUAUCCUGUAAGCCACCGGUCCGAUACGCUCCAAUACCUCGAAAGGGCCAACAAACCGUGGACUAAGCUUUCCACGUACUCCAAAUCUGCGUAUCCCUCGGGACGGCGAGACUUUGAGGAAAACAUGAUCUCCAACCUGAAACUCCAAGUCUCGUCUCCUGGUAUCGGCGUAGCUCCUCUGUCGGCUCUGUGCUGUCAAAAGGUGUCGUCGAACGACUCUCACCUUUUCCUCAGCCUCAAGUAGAAUCUCCGGUCCAAGUGUCCUCCGCUCACCCACAUCACUCCAAAACAGGGGGGAUCGACAUCUGCGUCCAUACAACGCCUCAAACGGAGCCAUCUGAAUGCUCGUUUGAUAGCUGUUGUUGUACGCAAACUCAACCAGUCUCACAUGUCGAUACCACCCUCCUCCAAAAUCCAGGACGCAUGCCCUCAGCAUGUCCUCUAGAGUCUGUAUGGUCCGCUCUGACUGACCAUCUGUCUGUGGGUGGAACGCCGUGCUAAAAUGCAGCUGUGUACCCAAGGCUGUCUGCAAACUCCUCCAAAACUGGGAUACAAACCUCGGGUCUCUGUCUGAUACAAUCGACACUGGCACGCCGUGCAGCCUAACAAUCUCAUCCAAGUAUAGCUGCGCAAGUCUCUCCCUGGACCAGGUAGUCUGAACCGGUAGGAAGUGAGCAGACUUGGUCAGUCUGUCCACUAUCACCCAAAUCGCGUCGUAGCCACCCUGCGCUCUAGGCAAUCCAACGACGAAGUCCAUCGUGAUGUGCUCCCACUUCCACUCGGGAACUGGCAGACUCUGAAGCUUGCCAGCAGGCACCUGAUGCUCGGCCUUCACCUGUUGGCAAGUCAAACACUGAGCCACAUAUCUGCCAAUGUCCCGCUUCAUUCCAGGCCACCAGAAUCGUGCCUUAAGAUCCUUAUACAUCUUGGUUCCCCCAGGAUGAACCGUAUAAGGGGAACAAUGAGCCUCUCUCAGAAUAUCCGCUCGAAUCUCCGGAUCCACAGGCACACACAGUCGGUCCCUGUACCGUAGUACUCCCGAACUGUCCAAAGCAAAACCCUCAGCCUGCCCCCUGUCUAGCUGCUCUCUAAUCCUCAACAAGUACGGAUCUCCACUCUGUUUCUCUCGGAUCCUAUCCAACAGAGUGGGCUGUAAAACUAGAGACGUCAGCCUCGCCGUAGACCCAGGGGGUACUAUCUCGAGUCCCAGCCGCUGUAGCUCCUCGAGUAGGGGUCUCUGCUCAGUAAUCCUCAAACUCAGGCUCUGCACUGACUUCCUGCUCAACGCAUCUGCCACCACAUUCGCCCUGCCGGGAUGAUACUGAAUACUAAUGUCAUAGUCCUUCAGUAACUCCAACCACCGGCGCUGCCUCAGAUUCAGCUCCCUCUGUGUGAACAGAUACUUGAGACUUUGAUGAUCGGUGAAAACCUCGCAGUGCUCGCCGUACAAGUAAUGCCGCCAGAGCUUCAAAGCAAAAACCACCGCGGCAAGCUCCAAGUCAUGCGUAGGGUAAUUCUUCUCAUAAUCCUUUAACUGCCGUGAAGCAUAAGCAAUCACCCUACCAUGCUGCAUCAGCACGCAACCAAGUCCACUGUGCGAUGCAUCACUGUAGAUCACAAAUCCUUCGCCCAUAACAGGAAGGGCAAGGAUAGGAGCCGACAUCAACCUCAAUCUCAACUCGUCAAAGCUCCUCUGACAGUCGUCGCUCCAGACAAAACGAAUCCCCUUCCGCGUCAAGCGUGUGAGGGGUGUGGAAAGCUUCGCAAAGCCUUCCACAAACCGACGGUAAUAUCCUGCCAGUCCCAGGAAGCUCCGUACCUCAGUAACCGUCGUCGGUCUAGGCCAAUCUCGAAUCGCCUCAAUCUUCUUCGGGUCCACUGCUACGCCCUCAGCUGAAAUCACGUGGCCCAAGAAAGCAACCUCCCGUAGCCAGAACUCGCACUUCUUUAACUUGGCAUACAACUUCUUCUCGCGCAGAAGCUGUAGCACAAUCCUCAAGUGCUCCUCAUGCUCAGCAUCACUCCGGGAGUAAAUCAGGAUAUCGUCGAUGAAGACUACCACAAACCUAUCCAAGAACGGCUUGAACACUCUGUUCAUCAAAUCCAUGAAUGCGGCAGGGGCAUUCGUCAAUCCAAAAGGCAUCACCGUGAACUCAUAAUGCCCGUACCGAGUCCGAAAAGCCGUCUUGGGAACAUCCUCGGCCCUCACCCUCAGCUGGUGGUAACCUGACUGGAGAUCAAUCUUCGAAAAGACACAAGAUCCUUGCAGCUGAUCGAAUAGAUCAUCAAUGCGCGGCAGAGGAUACUUGUUCUUGAUGGUCACUUUAUUCAGCUCCCGGUAAUCCACACAUAACCUGAGCGAACCAUCCUUCUUCUUUACAAAUAACACCGGCGCUCCCCAAGGCGACACACUGGGUCUCACAAACCCUCUAUCCAUCAGAUCCUGAAGUUGCGCCUUUAGCUCUCUCAGCUCUGCCGGUGCCAUCCUGUAAGGUACCUUUGAGAUUGGUGCAGUUCCAGGAACUACAUCAAUCACAAACUCAAUCUCCCUCUCCGGCGGCAAUGUCGUCAACUCAGGGGGAAACACAUCCGAAAACUCGCGGACUACUGGGAUGUCCUCGAGUCUCGGCGCCGCCGUAGGUACCUCCACAACUGUCGCUAGGAAAGCGAUACACCCACUGCUCAGCAUCUGUCGAGCCCUCGCCGAAGAUAUCCAGGUGGCAAACAGCGUGCUCCUGCAGCCUCUGAAAGUAA